rnacentral:rRNA from 1 species
AAUAGAUACCCUGGUAGUCCACGCCGUAAACGAUGUCGACUUGGAGGUUGUUCCCGUUGAGGAGUGGCUUCCGGGAGCUAACGCGUUAAGUCGACCGCCUGGGGAGUACGGCCGCAAGGGUUAAAACUCAAAUGAAUUGACGGGGGGCCCGCACGAAGCGGUGGAGCAUGUGGUUUUAAUUCGAUGCAACGCGAAGAACCUUACCUGGUCUUGACAUCCACAGAAUUCUGCAGAGAUGCGGAAGUGCCUUCGGGAACUGUGAGACAGGUGCUGCAUGGCUGUCGUCAGCUCGUGUUGUGAAUGUUGGGUUAAGUCCCGCAACGAGCGCAACCCUUAUCCUUUGUUGCCAGCGGCUAGGCCGGGGAACUCAAAGGAGACUGCCAGUGAUAAACGUGGAGGAAGGUGGGGAUGACGUCAAGUCAUCAUGGCCCCUUACGACCAGGGGCUACACACGUGCUACAAUGGCAUAUACAAAGAGAAGCGACCUCGCGAGAGCAAGCGGACCUCAUAAAGUAUGUCGUAGUCCGGAUCGG